rnacentral:lncRNA from 1 species
GUCUUUUAUAUGUGAAAGAAUCUAGAAUUAGAACCAUCAGCUUACUCUGUGACCUUGAAAUUCUGGAACUCAGGCCUCUCCUUCAAGCUACUUCAAGCUGUGCCCUCUUUCUCCUUUGUUCUGGACUACAAAAUCCUUGUUAAGAUGUGCCUUGGAGCAGAUACCAUCCUCCAGGUUCCAAGUUCAAGAACAGUGUUUGGGUCAACAUCACCUCCCUGGGGAGAUGUUCCUAUACUUGCAACCUCCAGAUGACCCAAGGGCCACCAUUUGCAGCGUUCAUGACACCUAAUGACCUGUCCCUAGCAGCUCCAGGCUUCCUGAGAGUGGGGUCAUAUCUAUCCUCAUCACCACUGGGUUCCCAGUGACCAGCCCAGUCCGGAGAAGCAAGGAGAAACCACUUUUUGACUCAAUGUAUCUUAAGUGGGUAGAGUUGAGUGGAUCAGCAAGGAUGGAGAUUCGAGAGAAGCAGUGGGUAGGAGAAAGUCUCUGGUCAACAGCCUCUUCUGGGCAGAUAUGAUAAACAAAAACCCUCAGCCACCACAGUAGAAGGGACGGGUGGAUUUAAAUAGAAUCAAUGCAUAUAUGCCCACCUAGCUGACAAGAGGCCUCUAGCAUAGCUUCCAAUAUGACAUCCUAAGGACUUGUUUGGGGCUUUUAGGUCCUGAGGGACACCUAGACAUUGACUGGAUACCUUCUUUUCGGAAUGUCUAAUCUGUCACUUGUUCAACAAAACUGUCCUCUUCGGCUUCCAACAGGAAGUCAUGGUCAAAACUCAUUUCACUCUCAGAAUCCAGAGCUGGACAGUCAAUCCUUGCUUGUUGGUCUAAAAUCCUCUGCUUAGUUGAGGAAGUCAAGGUAUAGAAAGGUUAAAAGUAGGCCCUAACCUUCUCUUCUUCCCAAUGUGUUUCUCAUGAGAGUGGGAAAGAUUCUCGGAUUCUCCCAGUGCCAAAGCUGACGGGCCUCGCCCAAAGACUCUUGAGUUGAAGAGCCAGGGAAGGCAAGGGUGAAGACUUCUAACCAUGCCUGCCAGGAUACCCACU